CCCCACCCCUUACAAACAACAUCAUCCCCACUGUACCUAAAUCAGGAAGCACCACCGAGACACGUUUUUUUUCGUUUUUGUGUUACGGAGACACUUUGGUGAACAAGACAACGGCGAACCAUAAAGGGUGAAAAGGCGUUGUUGUUGAUGCUGUUGACGACCACCGUCGAAAGAAGACUGACAGUUGGUUACAUCCAGUACAAGGCUCAGCUGUGGAUGCAUUUGACACAGACUAACCGGAGAAGGUCUCGGUCAGCAGCAUGGGCCAGCAUCUAGGAAAGAGAGAGGCUCCCACCGACAGCAAGGCUCCGUCACCUGAACCUGAAGCAGAGCUGACAACAACAAUAACGACAACAACGACAACAACAACAGCAGCAGUAGUAGCAGAACCUGCACCUGCACCUGAACCUGCACCUGCAACUGAACCUGAACCUGAACCUGAACCUGAACCAGAACCAGAACCACAAGAUGAAGUCUUUGGCCUGGGUGAGGCAGAUGCGGACCAGAACAAUGGUUGCGUCUCGGAGAAGCCGGCGGUGACUGACUCCACGGGCGCUGAGGGCCCCCACCAGCCCUGGCCCGACGCCAGCACAGCUGACCCUGACGCGGCCACGCCACGCCCCCACCUGGCCCGCCUCUUCUCCCGAGAUGCCCCGGGCCGAGAGGACAACACCUUCAAAGAGCGACCCUCCGAAUCGGAUGAGCUACAGACCAUCCAGGAACACAGCGGAGCUUCAGAGUGCGGGUCAGAUAGCCCCGAACAGGACCUAGACUAGGCUAGCUUUUUUUGGUUCCCUCCCUCCCUCUCUUUUUUUCUCUCUUCUCCCUCCUCUAUUUUUUCACUCUCUCAUUUAAGAGAGCAACACGAACCCUACAUUUUGACAAAUACCGACCACUACUACAAACAUACCAUGGCAUCCGCAAGCCAGAAGAAGAAGGCCCCUGGACUCCUGGAUCAGAUCGGAACCUUCUUCGGAGGGGACAAGAAGAGGAAGAGCAAGGGAUCUUUCCGAGGGGCCCUCUCUCCAGCCCCUCAGAAAGCCUCCGGGGCUGCCCCACGUAAGCGCGGAGCAGAGAACGCUGUGGUCCACUUCUUCCGCACGAUCGUCUCCCCUGCCCCUCCCAAGUCUAGGAAGUCACAGUCUGCUAAAGCCAAGAAGGCCAGUGCAGGAGACGGCAAAGGCACCCUGACUAGGAUCUUCAAAAUGUGAUGAUAUCAGCAGCAGAGGAAGCAGGAGUGCUUCUCCAGCCAAACGCUGAAGUCCCCCUCUAGCACCCCUUCCAACAGCACAAGGGCACGUUCAAGAUCACGGGGUUAAAGAGGGGAAAAGGAGGAAGAAAAGGAGGAAAUCUUGUCAUACCGUAAACUCACCUUCCCCUCCACCUCUGAUAACACUCUAACAUACGCUAACCCCCUCAUCUCAUGUCCCCCUACCCUUUUGGCUGGUACAUAGCGACACAAUCUGUUGCCCACCCCUCCCCUGCAUGCGUUGUGCUGAGUCUGUGAAGUCAUCAUCCUUAGCGUGAACUUUUUGCUGAUCCUGCUCACAUGUGCAGCCCGAAUGACCCUCCCCACAUCUGCGAUGGCUCUCUUUAAUUGUGCUUGAGUUCAAUGUGGAUGUCUUGUAUGGUUUCUUUAACAAAUAAGGUAGAUAAACCAAAGCACACCCGGAGCAGUUGAUGGAUUAUGGCCGGUGCAAGUCCGAUUGACUUGACCGUUAUUGCCGCUUUAUGGUUUGGCGAAAAGUCGGGGUGUUUUUUGUUUUUUAAAGAACGGUUUUGUGUCUCGUCACACUGUCUUUGUCUGUCCCCUAAACCUUUUCUGUGAACCAAAACUGAUUCAUUAAUCAAUUCUUAUGGAGAGCCAUGUCUUUUCAUUCAAACCAUUGUGUCUUAGCUGUAGUUAAGUGUCCUGUCCUAAAUGUGAUGUCGAUCUAUGUUUGUCAUUAGGGCCUAAGGUUGGCUUUGGUAAAAAUGUUAUUGCUAAACCUUCUAAAUCAUAUUUUCCGCAAUGAUCACUGAAGAAACCAACACAUAAACAAAUGAUUUCUAAUGUAAUUAUUUUUCAGUCCAUGAGCUAAUAAUAUACACUAAUCUCCUCUUCAUAUAUAACCUCAAUUUCAUGUCCACCUUUAGCCAGACUCUUAUUCUGAAAGGUGUUGUUGCUAGAGCAUGAUGUCGGAUUCAGAACCUCUCAUUUUAGCUUUAGUCUAGUCUCUCCUUUGUUGUCGCUGUUUUUUUCUCAUGGCACAAAUACUGUAAAUUACAUCCACCAAAACCCUUGUGCCUUUCCUCCUGACUACCAAAAAACUGUGCUGUGUUGCCUUCCUGUGUAAGAUAAAAAACACAAUUUCAAAAAGGUGCUCUGUAACUAACUUUGGAGUGACACAAUAUAAGAUGUUUUUUUGGGAAUGUUGCAAGUUUUCUCAGAAAUAAAAGCUCAGCACUAGCACUUGUGCUGUUCAAAAUAUCCAUUGUUCAUAUGUGUUCAAAAGCAUCUCUCCCACUGUUUGUGUGCUUGAGCCUCGUGAGUGCUAUGUAGUGUUGUGUCUGAAUGGAUCCUGUGGAUGAAUGUAAAGUUCCUCUUCAUUAUUGUAUGUGUAAUUAAACAUGACCAGCCACUAAACUGAGAAUAAAAAAAAAUAAAAAUCAUAAAACCAA